rnacentral:rRNA from 1 species
CAGUCGCCGCGGUAAUACGAAGGGGGCUAGCGUUGUUCGGAAUUACUGGGCGUAAAGGGCGCGUAGGCGGUUUGUCGAGUUAGAUGUGAAAUUCCCGGGCUUAACCUGGGGACUGCAUUUGAUACUGGCAGGCUUGAGUGUGGAAGAGGGUCGUGGAAUUCCCAGUGUAGAGGUGAAAUUCGUAGAUAUUGGGAAGAACACCGGUGGCGAAGGCGGCGACCUGGUCCAUAACUGACGCUGAGGCGCGAAAGCGUGGGGAGCAAACAGGAUUAGAUACCCGAGUAGUCCCUGUCUCUUAUAC